GAUGAACGCUGGCGGCGCGCCUAAUACAUGCAAGUCGAGCGAACAGACGAGGGGCUUGCUCCUCUGACGUUAGCGGCGGACGGGUGAGUAACACGUGGAUAACCUACCUAUAAGACUGGGUUAACUUCGGGAAAUCGGCGCUAAUACCGUAGAAUAUAAUUAACAGCAUGGUUCACUAGUGAAAGACGGUUUUGCUCUUACUUAUAGAUGAAUCCGCGCCGCAUUAGCUAGUUGGUAAGGUAACGGCUUACUAAGGCAACGAUGCGUAGCCGACCUGAGAGGGUGAUCGGCCACACUGGAACUGAGACACGGUCCAGACUCUUACGGGAGGCAGCAGUAGGGAAUCUUCCGAAAUGGGCGAAAGCCUGACGGAGCAACGCCGCGUGAGUGAUGAAGGUCUUCGGAUCGUAAAACUCUGUUAUUAGGGAAGAACAAAUGUGUAAGUAACUAUGCACGUCUUGACGGUACCUAAUCAGAAAGCCACGGCUAACUACGUGCCAGCCGCCGCCGUAA
rnacentral:rRNA from 1 species